rnacentral:lncRNA from 1 species
UUACAAGUCACUUUCCCGUUUUCUCUGCUGGAUACUUUGAAUGUCAGCAUGAUAGAAGAGGGAGAGAUUUGUGGCACAUCUUUGUAACUUGACCAAUGAUCUGCUGCACAAUCCAUUAUUGCUGGAGACAUUUGCAUGAAAGCAAGACAUCCUGCAGUUACUUUCACAGAUGAGGUGGCUGUGUUUUUGUGAAGGUUAUUUUUGGCUUGAAACAGAAUCAAGAGUCUGUCAAAGAUCCUGGAACUGA